GAGUCCUCGCAGCCAGUUUCCCAACCCUCGACAUUCUCCAGGGAGAUUUCGAGGUUUAGAAACACUGUGGUUGACGCGGCGCAGCAUAGUGAAGAGGCCCCGUACUCCACUGCGGACGCCUGCGCUAAAAAGAGCACCAUAUCUGAAGCGGGUCGCUCAUGCGACGAAACGACCGUACGGCCAGACGUGAAGCGGGUCAGGUCCUCGCCGAAGUUUGAUGAUGCUGUGCCCAGCACCUCAAAAUGCACAAACGGCCAGGACGCUGGGCGUUUCCAGGAAUGCGGCCGGGAGAUCAGCGACACGAGUGACCUCGCUUCAGGAGUGCACGCAGUGUCCACCAGCAGGACGCGACGGGUUUCGUCUAGAUCGGACCUGUCGUGCGGAGACCUCGACUUGAUAGCACGCUUCGAGGACUAGGAAAACGACUAGUGAGAGAAGACCGCCAAGGUCGAGGAUUCAGAGCAACGCAGCUGCCAUAUUCGACGAAGGAACAUUCGAUGCAGCUCUGAGAUGCCCAAAACUUUGUGUCAUUAUGCAAGCGUUAUGCAAGGCUAAACUUAGCAAGUUGUACUGAGUCAGAAGAAAAGUACAGCAAAGCAGGUAUUGUGUUGUAUUUGCUGUCGGAACCAUGAACUACAGUGCAUUUCAAUCUGUUAAUACCAGGGUGGUUGUCUGAGGCGCGCUACGGGACAGUCAGUUUUCACGGUGUAUCUGUACAUAGUACUCUCAGUCAAUAUUUGGCAGUGUAACGUAUUACUUCUCCACUGUGUAUUAUCACCUGAGCUCUACGAAGAACUGUCGUUGUCACAAACGUGAACUUCCUAACUUAACUGGAAAAAAAUUACUUCGAUCAUUUCCUGUUCUUUUUUGUUUUUCUUUUUUCGAGAGUCACCUGCUUUAACAGGUUUGAAGAUGACAUGUACCAUAAGCUCAAACGUAAUAUAUUACGUGGUUUGGAUGAUGUCUCACUGUGCUUUGUAAAUAUGCUGUGUUACAUAACAGGCCUUGCAAAACGCCGACUCUUUGCUGGCAAAUGCCGCAGUGUGCUGCGUUUUUUCUU